CAGUUCCUGUAACAACUAACAUUAUCAUGAGACAAUUUAGCCAAUCGGCAUAAUGCAAAUCGUGUUCAAUACUGCUGCUGCUUCAUCUGAAUGAGUUAGCAGUAAAUGAUAUGGAAACAUAGGACAAUAGACAAUCAUAUGAUACAUAAUCGAAUAAUUGGUUCUCUAACCAAUUUUAACUGGUUAGAUUCCAAGUCUUAAGAAGAAAGCUUACCGUCCACUAUGGUGGGAAUUUUUAUUAACAGUUUUUGUACUUGAAGUAAUUUCACUAAUGUGAAUAAUUCCUAAUGCUCUCUCUCUCUCUCUUCUAACGCUCAAUGUCAUUGAACGGUCUUCUUCCCCUCCCCACCUCCCUUGGACCUAACUCCGGUUGGUGACCACCAGGAGGCUGCACCAGGUAAGUCAUCUUCUCUUCUCUCUCUUCUUCUCAGACCGCUUCUCUCUCCUCUCCACCCCUUCUUCUCUCCUUUGCAGAAACCCUAGCUGCUAAUCUAGGGUCUGCAACAGUCUUCUUCCCUCUAGACUCUAGUUUAUCUCUUUUUCUUCUUUUCUUUUUUCUCUUCACCGAGAACCAUAAACCACCAGCCCGCUGCUGUGGGUUUAGGAUCAGCCACAGUCAUCGCCCCACCUUCUCUGUCCUCUAGUUCUUUUCCUUUUUAGUUGCUUCUUUCCUCUUCUUUUUCUUUUUCUUUUUCUUCUUUCUUUGGGUCUGGUAGUACAGGUGCACACUGAGCAGCGAACAGUAAUCUCCAGUUGCAGGGGCAGCAGCAGUAUGUGUCGGAGCGUGAGCGUCGGCAAAUCAUUUCAGUCUAGACCAGCAGCAGAGCGUAGAUAUCUCCGGCCUACACCCACGUUCUAUCCGCCAGGAGUUGGUACCUCUGGUUGCACUUUUCAACCCUUAUCUUCCGCCCUUGUAGAGAUAUAUAUUGCAGUAGCAUAGUGUAGUGUUGUGCGUAUAUUCCAUUGUCUUAAGACACUUCUCUUUUUGUAGAUUAGUGGUAGUGUUAGUAUCUUGCAACAUAGGAACUCUGACGGGGAAGUGUAUAGAGUUAGUGAAGAUUCUCAAGAAGAGGAAGAUCAGUAUAACUUGUGCUCCGGAGACCAGAUGGGUGGGUUCUAAGGCUAGGGAUGUUAUUGGGUAUAGGUUAUGAUAUGCGGGUGGAAGUUGCCUCUGUGGUGGACAAGAUAUGGGAGGCUAGGCUGACAAGGUUCAGACAUGUCAAGAGGAGAUGUACAAAUGCCCAGUGAGGAGGUGUGGGAGGUUGACACUGGAAGGCAGGAGGGAAGGUAAGGACUAAGGGUAACCGAAGAAGUAUGGGGGAGAAGUGAUGACAUGGCAAGACUUUAGCUUACCAAAGACAUAACCCUUGAUGGGAGGGUAUGGAGGUCGAGGAUUCGGGUAGAAGACUAAAAAUAAAUAGUUUUGCAUAUGGUCUUUCUGGCUAGUAGUAUUAGUAUUAUUUUCGAUAUUUUUAUUAUUUUACUUUUUCUGUAUUGUUAUUAUUUUUCUACUACUUGUCUUGUAUGCCUCUAUUUUCUUACUAUACUGCUAUUGUUUAUGCAUUCAUAAAUGUUGUGUUUAUGCUUUCUCUGAGCCUAAGGUCUUUCGAAAGCUCAGGUAGAGAUAAGGUCUGCGUACACUCUACUCUCCCCUGACCCCAGUCGUAGAACCAUACUGGUAUGUUGUUGUUGUAGUAGUUUUUGUACUUCAUAUUAGGUAGUUACAACUUACAACACCUUUGGAUCUAUAUUUCCUCUUGGUUGGAAUUGAGAUCAAUCAUCGACGAGCUGCCCUCCGGAGCUUCAUUUCUCUUUUAAGAUUUAUAAGCCAACAUCACAUGUUGAUUCAGUCAACCAGGUAUCAUAUCAUAGAUAGAAGGCUUUUUUUUCUCAACUGCCUUAACAUUUAGUUUAAUUUUCAUUUUUUUUUUUAAAUGGUAAUUGUUGCUAUUUCUAUAGCCUAUGUACUGAAACCCGUAUUUACACAAGGAACUCUAAUAAUACCGACUUAUCCCUAUAAUGAAUCUAAGACGUCAAUGAUAGAGACGGUAUCAUUAGAGUAAAUUUGAUUACACCAAAAACACAGAGUCAAAAUGCAAUUCAGUUUAACUUGUUGCAUACUAUUCUCCCUAUUCUCAAAAACUGUAAGGUUCUUCUCUUUCCAUAUUGUCCACCAAAAAUAGUGGCAGGGACAAUUCUCUAGUUACUUCUGUUUUUUGCUUGUGUCCCUGCUUCUUCCCAGCUAUGUAGAGCCUCUGAAAUUCUCCUAGGCAUGGACCAGGAGAUGUUUUUAAGUCUCAGGAACAAAUUCCACAGCUGGCCAGUGACUUCACAUUGGAUGAACAAAUGAUGGACUGUUUCUGCAGUUUUCCCACAGAAAAAAACAUCUAGAGCAAAGUGUAAUUCUCCUCUUCAUUAAAUUCUCCUGUGUCAAUACUGCUUCUUUAGCCAAUAACCACACAAAGCAAGACACCUUGUAGGGGAUCUUGGCUUUCCAUAUAUGUCUCCAGAGCCACUUGAGUAACUGCAGAUUUUGAUGGUUCAACUUCUUGUAUGCUGCACCUACUUUAAAAUCCCUUUACUGUUUCCCAACCACUGCAAUCUGUCCCACCCUAUUUCCAGACCACUAAAUUGAUCAAUGCAUCUAAAAAAUUAUGUUACUCUUGCAAUUUCCUAGUCAUUGAGGUGUCUUCUAAAUACAAAAUUCCACUCUUGAGGAGUCCAUAAGUCAGCUAUAGUACUUUGUUGCUGAAGAACUAAAUUGUGGAUGUCAGGGAAGAGAGUCUCCAUAUUUCCUUUUGCAUGUCAAUCAUCCUUCCAGAAUCUAGUUUUUAUGCCAUCUACCAUUUUGAUCUUGGUGUUAGGUCUGAAUUCAUUCCAAAGUUCUCUAAUGGAUUUCCAUAAGCUAACACCAUAAGGGGUGGUAACCUCCUUUGUCAUCCAACUAUCACUCACUUCAUAUUUUGCCUUUAUGACUGAGCCUUAUAAAUUCUGAUUAUCAUUUGAGUACUUCCAAAGCCACUUCAUCCUCAAAGCUUUGCUCUGGUUCUUCAUGUUCUUGAUCCCCAGACCCCCAACUCUCUUUUCAGUGAUCACAUUAGACCUCUAUCAGUAGCAAUGUUUUCCAUAGCAGCCAGCUUUUCAAGUAAAACUCUCCUCUGUCGGACAAGAUUCCCUUGCUCACUUCUGCUCCACUCCUUCAAUUUGUGUUUCAAGGCUUUUAAUUUGGAUGCAAGGAUGUAAUCAGGCCUCCCAAUAUAAUCAAUAGAGUUCCACCAUAUCCUUACGCUGUCAAUGAAACCUUCAGUCCCUAACCACCAGUUCUCAAACUUAAAAUAGCUCUUGCUCUUCUUCCGGGAACCACCUUGGAGUGUGAUUGGAGAGUGGUCUGACACUAUUCGAUGUAUAGUGUACUGUUUCAAGUUGCUAAAAGCAUCAUCCCAUUCUUGAGAUACCAAGACCCUGUCAAUUCUUGAAGCUAUCAGGUGGUUAUCCCCUUUGAACCAGGUGAACUUUGCAUUUUCCAGUUGAAGAUCAACUAGGUUUAGAUCCUUGAUCAAAUCAGAGAACUCCCGCAUCCCUAUUGUUCUCCUUAUACAGUUCCUCUUUUCUAAGACAUAUCUAGCCUCAUUAAAAUCACCACAAACUGCCCAUGGACCUUCUAUUAAACCUCUGAUAGAGCCAAUUUCUUCCCAUACUGAUCUUCGUUCCACAUAGCAAUUUGGAGCAUAUACUCCUGUUAUAUGGCAUGAGGGUAUAUGUCCCGAUCUCUAAAACUUCCCCUUUCCAUAUUCUACUAUCCCAAAGCAUCAUUAUCCUCCUCUUGUCCCACUAGCUUCCAAACAUGCCAUUCUGAUCCAUCUACCACCCCAAAUUUGCAUUACUAGCCCAGUAAGAUCCCCCUCUAGUUUGGUUUCUUGAAGACAAAUAAUGUCAGCUCUCCGUUUGUCCCUACUGUUCAAACCCCUUAGAUUCCAUGAGACAAGUUUAAAUUGCAUCAAGAAAUAGUUAGGAAGUUUCUCCCCUUAUCUCUACCCCACUUUUGAACUUCACAUCAAAAGCUACAAAAAAUUUCAAUUCAUUAGAGCCCUUGAACCUUGUCUUCUUGUCUGGCUUGUCUGGCACUGUCCACCUGUAGUAACAGUUCCAUAGCUUCCUCUUCAUGACCUUGGAAGUCAGCCCCAAACAAUUUUCCCAGUUUGAUCAAAUUCUGUUUCACCCAAGCAGAAACUUCUCUCUUUUUCUGUGAUUAACAGUUGUUAUUGAGUGUAUAGUGGCUCUGCUUCUUCGACUUCCCAUUCUUCAACAGAGGUCAAAGUUCUUUGGUCUUCAAUAUUGCAUACCUCUUUUUCCUCCCUCCCAAUCAUCACCUCCCCAAUUGGAACUUGUGCCUCUGAUUCUCCCAUAUUUAGCACAGCCACAUCACCCAAAAUACCACUCGAAUCUGUUGUUGUUAUCUCCUUCUCAGUAUUCUGUUGUGCUCCUUGCAAUGUCUUUGGGCAGAACUAUGUUUCUUUAUCUUGAAGAAUCCAAUCUUCUACUGGAUUGGGCUGGGUGGAACUGGAUAUGCUAUUAAAAAUAAAUAGGCUUGUUGGAUCUGGUCCAUUAUACUCUUCAUUUAAUUGUUCUGGCCUAUACCUAAGGCCCAUAAUAGAUUCCUUCAUUAAAGAGGUCACAUGGUUCUCAUAUGACUCAGUGGGUACCACCACAGCUGUCAACUUUCCAUUCCCCACAUGGGUAUUUGUACUAGGAUCCCUAGUAAAAGGGGAUUUUUGUACUGUAGUAGUUACUCCUUAUUAUCACCUGGUCCAUAACAUACCCUGCUUUCAAAUUGUUAUCUUCUUCUCCGGCGAGAUUCAAAACUUUUUCUAGCAAGAUUUCAUAUCUUGCUUUGCCUUCAACCCAUACCAGAAAAUGGUAUCUGAUUCCGCCACGCGAAAUCGAAACCUCUUUCGGUAUAUUUCUACCACUGUUUGCAACCAAAAUUCUUGCCCACUUCAUAUGGUUCUUCAACUCUGUCUCCUCUUCCAUUGCCACCCAACCAUGAACCACCACAGAGUUGCCCUAUUUCUUCAAAUACUUGUUGUGACCACAGAUGUAGGGGGAUCCCUAUAAUUUUUAUUCCAAGUUUUUUUAACUUCCACAGAGUUCGGCAUGCAGCCUACAACUGGGCUCCACCAUUCUAGGUUGAAACUUAGGUUUCUCCAUUUCCACUAACCUUGAAGAGUUUGUUCCGCCAUGAAUUUAUUGGGAAAUUCUGAUUUCAGACAAAGAAGGUUUCUCUUUGCUGGCCUUCUCCAGAUACCCUACAAGACACCUACCCAAAAGCCCAUCCUCUUGCUUUUCUGCUGAGCUUGUCUCCUUGUGGGUUUUUUAUAGCCAUUUGCUGUCCCUUACAGCCUUUGAGUAGGGGUAUCCGGAGUUUACAAGUCUUGGUAAACUCGUUGGUAUCGACCUUUUGGUGCAUUUAAUGAAGUUUUCUAUCUUAAAUGCUAAAUCGUACCAUCCAGCAUUCAAGACUGGUUCUGGAAUAAUGUUAACAGAUCUACCCCCCACAUUAAUGGCUACAAUGCUCAUAUAUCUCUCAUAUUCAUUAUGUUUCCUAGUGCAGAAGUAUUCCUUUUUUCUUUCAGUAUAUCUCCAUCUCCUUGUGACUUUCUUAUGAUCAGUGGAAGCUUCUCUUAGCAGGAAACAGAUCCAUUCCAUCACCUUACUGCUCACGGUAGUUCUUCACAUCAUUCUUCGACUUCUUUCCACCCACUCAUACCAAACAGAGCCUUCAUCAUUCCAUUUGGUAAUAUCAAAAGACUUGAAACUAGCAUUAAAAUAAAUCCUAUUUUCCCCCAUGGCCUGACUAAGCAAGAGAGUAGAAAGAAAAGAAGAAUAAUCACAUGAGGUAAUUACCAGAGGCAAUAGGUGUGCGGAAGGAAUUCUGGCGGAAGGGUGCUGGAGGAGAGAGGGCUCUCCCACCUAGGAGGAGGAGAGAGAACUGCCUCGAGAACUGUGCCAGAGAGCAUUUCUAAUUUAACUUUGUUAACUGUAGUUUAAUUUUCAUUUUGUGGAUGAUGUAAAUGAUAUUUUGGAUUUCAUAGGUUCUGUAGAUUUGUUAUUGGGAUGGCUUUACUCCUUCUGUUAUUCACAGCAUUUCCUUAGUGCUGAGUUUGGUGAAUAAUAUAAAGUUACGUUUCUUUGUUCAGCAGUGAAUAAUGCAAAAAAGAAUUACUUAACAAGAAAUCAAAGUUACCUGUUUCAAAAAAAAAAAAAAUACUUAA